UCACUCUUUCCCAAGGGCUGACUUGAUCUAUGUUGCUCCUGCCAACUCAAACUACUGCAGAAACCCUGUGGCUCCCCAGCCAUGGUGAACUAACUCUAAAAUUGUGAGCCAAAAGAAAUCCUUUAUCCUUUAAGCUGAUUUUUGUCAGCCUUUGAUCUGAGUCAGGAAAAGUAAGUCACACGGGGUCUGGGGUCUCUUUGGGGGCUGAGAAGAUGUUCUAGCGUUAAAAGUGGUGGUGCUUGAAUGAUGGCGGGUAUACUGAAGGCAAUUGAGUUGUUUCUUUUUCCUGUGUGCACUCAUAUUCAUGUACAUGUUGUGUCUCUGUGUGUGCACAUACGUGUGGGUGUUUGUGCACAUGUGGGCGGAAGCCAGAGAUUGAUGUCAUGUGUCUUCCUAAAUCACACUCUACCUUAUUUUUUAAAGACAGGGCAUCUUACUGAACCUCGAGCUCACUGGUUUGGCUAGACUAGCCCCAGAGAACCUCCUGUCUCUGCCUCCCCAAGACUGGGAUUGCAGGCUGCCACCAUGGCACCCAGCUUUUUGCAUGGGUACUGAGGAUGGAAUUUAACUGGCACUGGUGAAAUGAUUGAGCUGGUAAGGUUGCUUGCUACCAGGCCUGAUAAUCCCAGUGCAUUUCAAAGUGGAAGGAGAAACAUACAUGCACACCACACACACACACACACACACACACACACACACACACACAAGCAACACACAUACACAUACACCCCACACAUACCACAUACCACACACACACACAUACACCACACAUACACCCCCCACAUACACAUACACCACACAUAUACACGCCCCACAAACAUAUACACACAUACAUACCACACCCCACACACACACCACACAUAGACCACACACACAUACAUCCACCACAU
rnacentral:lncRNA from 1 species